GCUGGGUGUAGUGGUGUGUGUCCGUAGUCUCAGUGACUUGGGAGGCUGAGGCAGGAGGAUCACUUGAGCCCAGGAAGUUGAGGCUGUAGUGAGCAAUGAUUGCCACUGCACUCCAGCCUGGGUGACAGAGCGGGAUCCUGUCUCUC
ensembl:misc_RNA Metazoa_SRP Metazoan signal recognition particle RNA